rnacentral:rRNA from 1 species
UGGGGAAUUUUGCACAAUGGGGGAAACCCUGAUGCAGCGACGCCGCGUGAUUUAGAAGGCCUUCGGGUUGUAAAAAUCUUUUGUAUGGGAAGAAAAUGACAGUACCAUACGAAUAAGGACCGGCUACUUACGUGCCAGCAGCCGCGGUAAUACGUAAGGUCCGAGCGUUGUCCGGAAUCAUUGUGCGUAAAGGGUACGUAGGCGGAUAAGCAAGUUAGAAGUGAAAUCCUAUAGCUCAACUAUAGUAAGCUUUUAAAACUGCUCAUCUUGAGGUAUGGAAGGGAAAGUGGAAUUCCUAGUGUAGCGGUGAAAUGCGCAGAUAUUAGGAGGAAUACCGGUGGCGAAGGCGACUUUCUGACCAUAAACUGACGCUGAGGUACGAAAGCGUGGGUAGCAAACAGG